GGAAGAACAAGUGCUAGUUGAAUAAGCUGGCACCUUGACGGUACCUAACCAGAAAGCCACGGCUAACUACGUGCCAGCAGCCGCGGUAAUACGUAGGUGGCAAGCGUUAUCCGGAAUUAUUGGGCGUAAAGCGCGCGCAGGUGGUUUCUUAAGUCUGAUGUGAAAGCCCACGGCUCAACCGUGGAGGGUCAUUGGAAACUGGGAGACUUGAGUGCAGAAGAGGAAAGUGGAAUUCCAUGUGUAGCGGUGAAAUGCGUAGAGAUAUGGAGGAACACCAGUGGCGAAGGCGACUUUCUGGUCUGUAACUGACACUGAGGCGCGAAAGCGUGGGGAGCAAACAGGAUUAGAUACCCUGGUAGUCCACGGGGUAAACGAUGAGUGCUAAGUGUUAGAGGGUUUCCGCCCUUUAGUGCUGAAGUUAACGCAUUAAGCACUCCGCCUGGGGAAGUACGGGCCGCAAGGCUGGAAACUCAAAGGGAAUUGACGGGGGGCCCGCACAA
rnacentral:rRNA from 1 species